rfam:Betaproteobacteria bacterium RIFCSPLOWO2_02_67_12 rifcsplowo2_02_sub10_scaffold_6412, whole genome shotgun sequence.
GACCCCAUCGUCUAGAGGCCUAGGACAUCGCCCUUUCACGGCGGUAACCGGGGUUCGAAUCCCCGUGGGGUCG